UCGAUGGGGGGACGCAGUAGGAUAGGCGAAGCGUGCGAUUGGAUUGCACGUCUAAGCAGUAAGGCUGAGUAUUAGGCAAAUCCGGUACUCGUUAAGGCUGAGCUGUGAUGGGGAGAAGACAUUGAGUCUUCGAGUCGUUGAUUUCACACUGCCGAGAAAAGCCUCUAGAUAGAAAAUAGGUGCCCGUACCGCAAACCGACACAGGUAGUCAAGAUGAGAAUUCUAAGGUGAGCGAGCGAACUCUCGUUAAGGAACUCGGCAAAAUGACCCCGUAACUUCGGGAGAAGGGGUGCUCUUUAGGGUUAACGCCCAGAAGAGCCGCAGUGAAUAGGCCCAAGCGACUGUUUAUCAAAAACACAGGUCUCUGCUAAACCGUAAGGUGAUGUAUAGGGGCUGACGCCUGCCCGGUGCUGGAAGGUUAAGAGGAGUGGUUAGCUUCUGCGAAGCUACGAAUCGAAGCCCCAGUAAACGGCGGCCGUAACUAUAACGGUCCUAAGGUAGCGAAAUUCCUUGUCGGGUAAGUUCCGACCCGCACGAAAGGCGUAACGAUUUGGGCACUGUCUCAACGAGAGACUCGGUGAAAUCAUAGUACCUGUGAAGAUGCAGGUUACCCGCGACAGGACGGAAAGACCCCGUGGAGCUUUACUGUAGCCUGAUAUUGAAAUUCGGCACAGCUUGUACAGGAUAGGUAGGAGCCUUUGAAACGUGAGCGCUAGCUUACGUGGAGGCGCUGGUGGGAUACUACCCUAGCUGUGUUGGCUUUCUAACCCGCACCACUUAUCGUGGUGGGAGACAGUGUCA
rnacentral:rRNA from 1 species